rnacentral:tRNA from 1 species
CCCGGCGUGGCGCGGCGCCGUGCGUGCUCCCGUUCCAGCCAGCGCAGCCACACCUCCUGCUGGAGGUCCUCCGGUUCGACGCCGGCGGCGGGU